rnacentral:misc_RNA from 1 species
UUUCAGUGCAUUCUUCCCUUAGUUUCUUGACCAAACCAACUGCUUUCUUCAUCGUCCACUUCCAAAUUAUCACCGUCCCAGUGCUAGUGGUGCUCAUGGGCAUGUCUAAUUACAUCGUUGAGACCGAUAAAGUAGCUCUAGCCGGAUAAGAUUAAAAUUUGUUUGGGUUUUGGCGGAAAUUUGUUCAAUUUUCUAGUGGUUGUUACUUGUUAUGAUUUGUGUAGAAAGA